rnacentral:rRNA from 1 species
AUACGGAGGAUCCGAGCGUUAUCCGGAUUUAUUGGGUUUAAAGGGUGCGCAGGCGGCCAUUUAAGUCAGCGGUUAAAUCGUGGGGCUCAACCCCAUUCUGCCGUUGAUACUGGGUGGCUUGAUUGCGGUCGAGGUUGGCGGAAUUCGUUGUGUAGCGGUGAAAUGCAUAGAUAUGACGAAGAACACCGAUUGCGUAGGAAGCUGACCAGACCGCAAAUGACGCUCAUGCACGAAGGUGCGGGGAUCGAACAGGAUUAGAUACCCUGGUAGUCCACGCAGUAAACGAUGAUGACUACCCGUCGGCGAUAGACCGCCGGUGGCCAAGCGAAAGCGAUAAGUCAUCCACCUGGGGAGUACGACCGCAAGGUUGAAACUCAAAUGAAUUGACGGGG